AAGGCUAUAGUCAAUUUAAGAUAUAUGAGUUGCAUUCAUAAGAAGUUCUUUCUAGAACUAGCUUU
rnacentral:tRNA from 1 species